CUUGACCGAGCCCAGCCACAGCGGCUCGGCGCCGUCGCGGUCCUGGCCGUACGUGGCCAUCAGGGCCUGCGCCUC
rnacentral:antisense_RNA from 1 species